GUCUCUGGAACAAUAGGUACCUGUAUUCCGCACGGACUGCUGGGCAGCACUAGCACUCUGGAGAAGGUCUGCCGCUGUCUGCACUUUCCUGGUUCUGUGCAGGCAGAUGAGUGUCACAGCUGUAACUGAGGCACAGAGCAGUACAUAUAGUGGAGCCGAUUUCCGCGAUGGCGAGAGGGGGCACCGGAGGUGACUACAAUAACAAGACCGUCCUUCAGACAAGUUUUAGGUAAGAAAACAUUUACGCCCUGAUUCUUGUAUUUCUGCACUUUGUGUCUGCAACAUUGAGAUAGAAAGCGACUCUGGAUAGGAAAAUAUUUUUGUGAGGGUAUCAUCUGUGCUGUCACUUGCCUGCAAACCUGUGUUCUCGGGGCUUUGUGUUACUGGAAUCGUCGGAGGUGAAGUGUGAGCAGAGCUGAGUGGAAGGGUGAGCUGCUUUUUGUGUCUGGUGAUAUUCAGCAUGCUGUUUAAAUUUAUAUCUGGAAAAAAAUUCUGUUUGAUGAUAGUUAGCAAUGUUUUGUGCAACGUAGAGCAGCAUAUGGCCAUGCAGAAUUCAAGGGAUGCUCUUUCAUUCUUAAUUUGUAAUUAUUUUUACACUCAACUGUACUGAGGUCAGAGAGUUUCAAAAAUUAAUGAGAGUCCCUGUGGAGUUCAAAUAGUAAUAUCUACGUGAGCUGCCAUAAAAAGAUAAGAUUAUGAUGGUAUGUUUUCAACAUAGAUUUAACUGUCUUAUUUGGAAUAUACUCCAUUUGAAAUAUAUAUGAAAUGUACAAUAGUUUAUAGAAACCUCUAUGUUUUUGGAAAUUAGUCGGUUUUUUUUUUUCAGUGACGAGGAGAAAUUGACUCAAAAUUAGACUGUAGAGGAUGAACACUUUGUGUAGACAUAUUACCAAAACUUAAUAGACAUUAUUGUUAUGGCAAUGGAGAAUAUCUUAUACUUUCGAGGAAAUAAGAAAUAAUGAAUGAGUCGCACGCUAAAAAGAAAUCUGCAAAUGUGUUUUCAUUUUAAGUGAUACAAAGAAACUCAGCAGAUAUUUAGGGUGAAACAUUGCUGGCAUGAACAAAGAAGCAAGUGUACACAUAGAUGAGAACUCUUUGUCACAAAAAUGAGUCCAGGACAUCGAUUUAGGAGGUUAAGUGAUUUUUAUGUUCUCAGUGCCCCACAAAAGGGGAUCUAUUGGGAUGAGUGCAGACAUUUGAAAAUGUACCAAAAACUUUCAUUUCCCACAAUUUAGAAACAUUGUUUAUGUUCCUGAUACAACACAUUGUUUAAAUGAGGGGGACGGAAAAGCAGUCUGAAUAUACAGUAAUCGGGGCUAAAGAUGUUUUUUAUCCCCAGGUCCCCAUUUAUAAGACCCAUUCGGAGCUUCCUGUGAUAUAUUGUUAUGUAAAUACUGUUCAGCCAGGGAAAGCAGUACUAUGGAGAUUCAAUUUACUUUGAAAGUUGUUCAUUAUAGCAGGGAUGAAUGUUAUUUAUUUGAUGUGAUUCAAAGGCUGGAAAUGACUUUUUCAUUGUGGCGCCUUUUGUAAUGGGUGCAGGGUGAUCUAAUCUUUUUAAUUUUGGCUUUCACACCAGUGGAGAUGAAAAGAGAUCUGAACUCAUUUAUCGGUUGCUAGGUCCUUCUGGAGGCCCAAGUCCUGUUCGUGGUUGCUAUGGCCAGUCUGACCUCAAUCUCCGUGGUUUGGGGGACUUAGCAGUCUUUUUUUAUUGAGGAGCAUGUACCUUGAUUUAUGUCCAAAAUUGUGGCUGAACGUCUUUGUCUGCAAGUGAUAAAUGGUGCCGAGCAAUUCAUCAGUUCUUACAAGUAAACACUGCUGUCCCACUAAAAAUAUGUUUUGUUCCGAGUUAAUGGUAUGGAACAAGGCAGCCUCCACAAACAGCUAUCUUUUAUUGUGGAGGGGCCACUGAAACUUGGAGCAAAGUGGAGGAAAUUGGCAUUCAUUUUCUUGUACAUUAGCAUUUCAUUUGUGAUUCGGAUGAUGCAGCUCUAGGUGGAUUGACUAUGAAAGGGUGAGCCUUCCAUUUCCUUACCUUCUCUCUAGUUGGGGUGCCUGUGAAACCAUCAGGCUCUCUCCAAGUGCCUGGAUUCUGCUGAGGGAGUAAGAAGUCAGGAGUAGUUUGUCUGAUGGUAUUGGGCUCUGCUUUGCAAUUGCCAAGCGCUAAGGCACAAGCUGGCAGAUGUGCUGUGGCUCUGCUACGGGCGGCUCUGUCGCCUUCAGUCGCAGGCGGGUUCUUUGGGGGAAAGUUGUAUCCAAUAUUGGUGACUCCUGGGAAUAUUCUGCUGGUGUGCUACUUAAUGGUCUCUAGGCUUCCUUGUCUUCUAGAACCUUGUUAGAAAGGAGCCGUGGUGAUUAAGAGGCUAUGGAGUAUACAGCCUUGCUUAGCAGAUGAGCCCUGAUACAUUUCCCGUUUCCUUAAAAACGGCUAAUUGAUGGAUGCUGCAGAAAAUAUGCACUCUGAUAAUAAGAUGGUGAUGACAAAAUAGGUAUCAGGAAAGGCAUUUAUUGCUUAUAAGCACCAUCAGCUUCCUUCCGAGUGAGAUUGUGGCUUUGUAGUAAAGUUUUUUAUUUUUAUUUUUUAUUUUUUAAAGUAAUAUGCUAAUAGUUUUAUUCUAAAUCGGCCAGCGCUGAAUAUCUUCAGGAAAAUGGGUUCCAUGAGAAGUGACAUCCUCCUCAAAUCAAAAGAUUUGAGGUUAACAUGAGCAUAAUGUCCUGGAUGAAGCUUUGGAAGUACUUGUGAAGGAUUCUCAGGAUGAUGGAGUGAGUGAUGGAAUAGGUUGCCAACUGUAGUUACUCCACUCAGCGCAGAAUGGCUGCGGGGAAAUAUAAUCAGACAUGCCCAAAGAAGUCUGCUUAGGGUGAAACAAAUACCUUUGAGGUUUAAAUCAGAAAGGAAGGAGAGACUGUUUCUACAGGUGUCAUAGAAAAAUCAAUACUGAGCCAAGGAUUAUUGGAUCCCAUAGAACCAUGGAGGCGUGGCAGUGAAAUUCUCCCAAAGGCAGACGGUGUUCCUAGGUUUGGAAAUAUAAAUCCCAUGGGAAGUCAGCUGAAGAACAUUUUAUGCAUCACUUAUCCUGUUACGAGCCCUGUGCUGUUCUGUCUCUCUAUAAGACUGGCUGAAACCACAACGGUUGUUUGCAAUCUGCACUCUAACUUUGGAUCACCUAGUUAAUAUUCUGACUCUGAUUAUUACCAAAGACAAUAUUCUGUAAAAGAUAUUCUCUAUAAGAAGGAUGCUCCUGCAUUAUUAAUAACAUCACAGGGAAAAUGCAACAUUUUGGAUGUCACAUCUGAUAAGUUGGCAGUUAAAGAACAGAAACACAGCAAUAAGACUGAGUGGCUACAUUUUCCCAGUGCCACCAACUGGGAGUUAAGCUGACUAACAUUUUGAAAGCCCAGCCCAUUUCUUUCACAGCAGGAUGGCAGAACAAGAAAUUGAGAAUGGGUUUCACAGUGUUCUAUUAAUUUGAUUACUGUGUCCUAAGUGUGGGUGACUGAUCGUACCCGCCGGCUGGCUAAUGUCAUAAUUAACAAAGUUGCUACUACAUCUGCAAAGUUUAAUCGAAAAAUUUGCCAGUGAUAUGAUGGCAUUGUCACAGAGAUCACAAGGGACACGUAGUCGACUUUUGCUCAAGAUGGAACGACAGAGCUGUGUAGGCAAGAUGAGAAAUUGCAAACUUGUUCGGCCAAAGUGCCUCUUGAACUACAAGACAGUUUUGUUCCUCGGAGAGUUUGCUCUCAGAGUUGGAAGAAAGGUCUCCUUCUGAAAGGAGUCCUGACAAGCAAACUAGGCUCUCCUCCAGACAGAAGGGGGUAAGAGUGAGCCUACAAAAGUCAGGUGAAGACAGGAGGCUAAUAAUGAAGGGGCCGGGAAGGAGGCCAGUGCUACCAGGGUUAUCUCACAACCUCAGAUGCUGGAUAAGUCGAAGGAGGCAGAAUCGCUUUGGGAUGACAUUCAGAAAGGCUGGAGUGAUUACUUGGAAGAGAAAAGCCUACCUAUUCUUUCCAAGGUUCAGGAAUAUUCUCCUGACGUGCUCAUCCAAUGGUCCAGUAAUGAAUUACUGGAGACCUGCCUUAGACAAAGAAUGCACUCGGAGCCCCAACACACCUAAAGUCACGCUUUGAAGGAUCUGCCAAGCUCACUUUUAAUCAUGAGAAAGAAAUUACCCACACGGAGUCAGCAGAAAAUGAGAAAGUAGAGCUCGUGCUGUGAAUAAUUCCAGCAAGUGCCAAGGGGCUAGUUGAGGAAUGGCUACAUGAGGGGAACUAUUAAUAGCCCGCCAGUCGGGUAGGCAGCAUUCAAUCCUUCUAUGCCUUCUUUCGCCACCUGUUGAGGUCUUUCUUCUGAAACAAAGAAGAAAUAGACAAAUCAGACUUGCCCUCUUGGAAAUGUGGUCCAGAUUUCUCUACUCCCAAGCUCCAAAAAAAGGUAUACAUUGGAUGGGCUAGAUCAGUUCCUCCUGAGAGCCAUAAAUCCACCAAGAGUUGUUUUCCACGUAAGGGUGUGGUACAAUGGGGAACACCUGGUGUUGGAGGACAGUGGGAGAACUUUGGAGUGGAGUUGCAUUCUAAUCUCUCUGCCACAUCAACCAUGUGACCUGGGGCAAAUGAUAUAAACUCUAUGAGCCUCCUUCCUUAUCUUUAAAAUGAAGAGAAGUAAUACCUUGUAGGGCUGUUGUGAGGAUUAAAUGAAGUAAUGCAUAUGGUACCUAACAAAGUAUUUAACAUCAUAUUUUUUAAAAGCUCAUGAAAUAUUAGUUUUUCUUCCUUCCCCUCUUUCUAUUUUCUCCCCUGUUCCCUUUUCUCUCCCUCCUCUGCCCUCUCCUUCCUUCAGAUGUUAGUCUAAAACAGCACCUUGGAUCUAAGCAGCACCUUUGAGAAAGAAAAGACUGCUUCAAGAAUGUCUAGCUGCACCUCCUUUCCAUAUGUGGCCUAAGUGCCUAGGUUGGAUCAAUAGUUUAAUUUUUUUAUUGAACUGUUUGAUGUUGACUAUGGACUUACAUUCACUUUUACUGUUUUCUGUAUAUUUAUUUUUGCUUGAACUGUUUUAAUAUUGACUAUUUACCUCUGCUCAUUUUUAUUGAUUUUCUGUAUUUUUUCAAUGAAAAUUAUAAUAAAAAUUAGUUUUUGUUA